UGGGGAAUUUUGGACAAUGGGGGCAACCCUGAUCCAGCAAUGCCGCGUGUGUGAAGAAGGCCUUCGGGUUGUAAAGCACUUUUGUCCGGAAAGAAAUCGCCCUGGCUAAUAUCCGGGGUGGAUGACGGUACUGGAAGAAUAGGCACCGGCUAACUACGUGCCAGCAGCCGCGGUAAUACGUAGGGUGCAAGCGUUAAUCGGAAUUACUGGGCGUAAAGCGUGCGCAGGCGGUUGUGCAAGACAGAUGUGAAAUCCCCGGGCUUAACCUGGGAAUGGCAUUUGUGACUGCACGGCUAGAGUGUGUCAGAGGGGGGUAGAAUUCCACGUGUAGCAGUGAAAUGCGUAGAUAUGUGGAGGAACACCGAUGGCGAAGGCAGCCCCCUGGGAUAACACUGACGCUCAUGCACGAAAGCGUGGGGAGCAAACAGGAUUAGAUACCCUGGUAGUCCACGCCCUAAANGAUGUCAACUAGUUGUCGGGUCUUAAUUGACUUGGUAACGCAGCUAACGCGUGAAGUUGACCGCCUGGGGAGUACGUCGCAAGAUUAAAACUUAAAUGAAUUGACGGGGUCAUAGCUGGUUUCCU
rnacentral:rRNA from 1 species